rnacentral:RNase_P_RNA from 1 species
CAAGUAAAUCGCCUUAUCGCUGCGUUUUAAACGUGGAGGAAAGUCCGAACACCGUAGUGCAAUAUAGUGGUUAAUGGCCACCAGUUGUAAAAUUAGGAAAAGUGCAACAGAAAGUAUGUACAGGUAAUGCUGUAGUGAAAUCAGGUAAACUCUAUAUGGUGCAAUGUUAUGUAUACCAACGUUUAAGGGUUGCACGCCCAAUGUUGGAGGGUAGACAGCUAAAGUGUAUUGGUAACAAUGCACUCAGAUAAAUGAUAAGGGCUUUUGAACUAUUUUAGAUAUUCUGAAACAAGUUCGGAAUGCACAGAAUUCGGCUUAUAGAUUUACUUAAAUA